UUCUCACAUGUUCAAGUGCUCUGAGAUACACGGUAGAAUUCAUGGUGGAUUCUAUGAUGUGAGCCGGCCAUGUCCUUCUGCAGAAAAGCAUCCCAAAACCAGGACACUUCCUCUCCCAUGUUUCAAGGGUCUGCUGUUACCUGUGCAGAGCGCUCCAGAGUUAAGCAGGUGGUGAGUCUGUAAUAAUGGUUCGUGGGUAACACGGAUAACGAUGGAAGAACAGAAUUUUGAGAACAGCCUGCUGCAGAGGACAUCUCCCCAGAAAACUCAUGUAGUGCUUGAUGAUGAUGAUGUCAAAGCUUUGAAAGACACUAAAAUAAAAGAAUUUCCAAGUGCCACAGUGUCUGAGGUGCGAGCCCUCAUUUGCAGAAAAUGUAACAAUGAGGUCUGUUCAAAGAAAAGUGGCCCUGUACAGUGAGGAUAUGGUUUGUUUUAAACAGUGUCCAUUCUACAACUGUUUUUGUUUUUUGUGGUUGUUUUUUGCUUGUUUUUUUGA